UUUCUUGGAGCUUUGAAGCAGGUUCUUGAGAUUUCCUGCUUUCUUGCGAUUCGGGAGGUGGAUUCCUGUUGUUCUUGCGAAAUCUUGGGGAUGAUUUGUUGUGGGGGAGCCAAGAAAUUGUCUGGCGUCUUAGGAGCGGAAUCCUUGGGCAGAUGUUUGGGCCAAUUUGUCUUUCUGCAUUGAUCGAUCUUGCAGCGAGUUAUGUAGGCGCAUGUUCUUGCCCUGUUUUACUCAAUAUUUUCAGUUCUGUGUGAUGUAGUGCUUCCAAGUGCAGUGAAAACUGUUAGGGACAAUCUGUGUGUUCAUUUGAGAUGUCAUAAAUGGGUGUACUUUCACUAGAUCAUUGGCCACUUAAAUAGCUGGUUUUAGCCCUUGGCUGGUUGAUUUCUGAAACUGGCUUACGGCCCAAGCAUAAUCAUAUGAAUGACCGACAAGACUACGGGAGUUUGUGCUUUGUGAUUGCUGAUCCCUUGCUUGAAUGUUUGAUCUCGAUGUUUAACUCUGGAGUAAGGUGAAACCGCUGAAAACAUCACUUGAAGAAGUGAAGAAGAAAUCGGCCUGGAGCAAGGUUAAAGGAAGCAUCAGAAACAGGUUUUCGGGCAGGAUGGGAAAGCUAAAGUGUUGCUCCGAUGAAAACUCUAUAGUAAUGGAACCUCAUGUGCAUCACGAGAUAAUCCCCAUGCCCGGGAUCAUUCCGCAUUACAAUCUCCUCAAAAUGGUUGCUGGACGAGAACUAUUUCAUACAAAUGCACUGAACCUUCAACAUGCCUAUUAUGGAUUUAGGCCAGUGCAUGGAGAUGGAGAGUGUUUCUACAGGAACUUCAUAUUCUCUUACCUUGAGCAAGUUCUUGAUAGGCAGGACGCACAUGAGGAACGUCGUCUUCUUGCUGUUGUUAAAGGACUGGCUAGGAAACAUGCGCGCCUUGCAUUGACCUCCGAAUUUUCCAGGACCCACAAGGAUAUGCACCGUUGUUUCAUAGUAUUGGCAUUCUGGCAUGUCAUCACAAUUAUACACCCUGUUGACAUAUUCAAAUUUAAAUUUACUGAAAAUGUGACGGUGGAAUGCUAGCAAAUACGCAUGUAGAGAUCGGUUCGCUCUCACAGAACUCCAGUAGUGGGAUAUAACUAUAGAUAUAAAAGAAGACAUACUUCCUGCUUACACAGAUAUAAUCCACUCAUGCUGCUUCGUGUGGUCAUCUGAUCCAAAGGGGGGGGGACGUUUUCUUUUAUGGUACUCCCUUAUAAGAUACUUUCUUUCUUAACUACUAUCUUAUUAAAUUUGUGUUUACUGGUUUAAGAUUCAAGCUUCUCAGAAGACUGUUAUCGCGGUGAUAUCUGUCCAUAUGUUGUUAUAAAUGAUAAGCAUUGUUGCAAGAUUUAGUGAUUUUCUGAUUCUUUCAGGCAUUUAAGAAUUUGAUAAAGAAAGUAAAGAGAUGGAAGCAUGUAUCAAGCAGUCGCAGCUAUCGCAGACAGACACUUCUUGAGUUCUUCAGCGGUUAUGACACGACAAAUGACAUUUUUUCUUUCCUCAGAAUAGUAGCAGCUGUCUGGAUAUGCUCGCACAGUGAACAGUUUGAACCAAGUAUACCUGAACUCAGCGAAGAUUUAACCCUCAGAGAUUGGUGCUUCCGCGAAGUUAUCCAGCGUAAGGUCUACACAGAUCAUGUUCAGAUAACUGCAUUAGUCACCGCACUCGGGGUGCCACUCCGAGUGGAGUACCUCUCACAAGCAGAAGGCCUAGACCUCUACGCUGGUGUCCAAGAGGAUACGCCAAGAUGUGGAUGCUGGCCACGCCAUCGUCAUCAUGAAGUGCCCCGUGUUAUACAUUCUGAUCAUGAAUCUUUGAAGCAUAUUCGUAGUCAAGGAAAGCUCUGAUCAUGAAUCUUUGAAGCAUAUUCGUAGUCAAGGAAAGCUGAACCGUAGACAUGCUAAGUGGGUCGAAUUUAUUGAAUCUUUUCCUUAUGUCAUCAAACACAAGAAGGGGAAAGAGAAUAUAAUUGCUGAUGCGUUGUCUAGGAGAUAUACUUUGUUGACAUAGCUUGACUAUAAGAUCUUUGGUUUGGAGGCAAUUAAACAACAAUAUGCACAUGAUAAUGAUUUCAAAGAUGUGUUGCUGCAAUAUAAGGAUGGAAAAGUAUGGAACAAA